GCAUCGGUGGCUUAGUGGUAGAAUGCUCGCCUGCCACGCGAACCUGAGGGUUCGAUUCCCGGCCGAUGCA